GAAACGGGAAUUAAUACUCCAUAAUAUUAACUGGUGGCAUCACCGGUUGAUUAAAGCUUUUUGUGGUUAGAGAUGGGCAUGCGUAACAUUAGUUAGUUGGUGAGGUAACGGCUCGCCAAGGCAACGAUGUUUAGGGGGCCUGAGAGGGUGGUCCCCCACACUGGUACUGAGACACGGACCAGACUCCUACGGGAGGCAGCAGUGAGGAAUAUUGGUCAAUGGGCGGAAGCCUGAACCAGCCAUCCCGCGUGCAGGAAGACGGCCCUAUGGGUUGUAAACUGCUUUUCUGAAGGAAGAAUAACCAUGUGUUUCGCGUGGGAUGACGGUACUUCAGGAAUAAGCAUCGGCUAACUCCGUGCCAGCAGCCGCGGUAAUACGGAGGAUGCAAGCGUUAUCCGGAUUUAUUGGGUUUAAAGGGUGCGUAGGCGGGCUAAUUAGUCAGUGGUGAAAUCUUUCGGCUCAACCGGGAAACUGCCAUUGAUACUGUUAGUCUUGAGUUAGGUUGAGGUAGGCGGAAUGUGUAAUGUAGCGGUGAAAUGCUUAGAUAUUACACAGAACACCGAUUGCGUAGGCAGCUUA
rnacentral:rRNA from 1 species